GCUUCAUAUAUGGCUUUCUCCAGAUGAAUACGGAUUCAAGUUUGAUUUGCAGUGAGUUCAUAUCAUCUUCUGUAAUCUUGCAAUCAACAUGAACCGGAAUCACGACAUAGGGUCCUACGAGGAGUUUGACGAAGAUGGCAACAGUAUCGCAAAAGAUUCC